rnacentral:rRNA from 1 species
AUUGAACGCUGGCGGCAGGCCUAACACAUGCAAGUCGAACGGUAGCACAGAGAGCUUGCUCUCGGGUGACGAGUGGCGGACGGGUGAGUAACGUCUGGGAAACUGCCCGAUGGUGGGGGAUAACUACUGGAAACGGUAGCUAAUACCGCAUAACGUCGCAAGACCAAAGUGGGGGACCUUCGGGCCUCACACCAUCGGAUGUGCCCAGAUGGGAUUAGGUAGUAGGUGGGGUAAUGGCCCACCUAGGCGACGAUCCCUAGCCGGUCUGAGAGGAUGACCAGCCACACUGGAACUGAGAAACGGUCCAGACUCCUACGGGAGGCAGCAGUGGGGAAUAUUGCACAAUGGGCGCAAGCCUGAUGCAGCCAUGCCGCGUGUAUGAAGAAGGCCUUCGGGUUGUAAAGUACUUUCAGCGGGGAGGAAGGCGGUGAAGUUAAUAGCUUCACCGAUUGACGUUACCCGCAGAAGAAGCACCGGCUAACUCCGUGCCAGCAGCCGCCGUAA